rnacentral:rRNA from 1 species
UACAGAGGGGGCAAGCGUUGUUCGGAAUUACUGGGCGUAAAGGGCGCGUAGGCGGCCUUCUAAGUCGAACGUGAAAUCCCUGGGCUCAACCCAGGAACUGCGUCCGAUACUGGAAGGCUUGAAUCCGGGAGAGGGAUGCGGAAUUCCAGGUGUAGCGGUGAAAUGCGUAGAUAUCUGGAGGAACACCGGUGGCGAAGGCGGCAUCCUGGACCACAACUGACGCUGAGGCGCGGAAAGCUAGGGGAGCAAACAGG